rnacentral:rRNA from 1 species
GACGAACGCUGGCGGCGUGCUUAACACAUGCAAGUCGAACGGAAAGGCCCUGCUUUUGUGGGGUGCUCGAGUGGCGAACGGGUGAGUAACACGUGAGUAACCUGCCCUUGACUUUGGGAUAACUUCAGGAAACUGGGGCUAAUACCGGAUAGGAGCUCCUGCUGCAUGGUGGGGGUUGGAAAGUUUCGGCGGUUGGGGAUGGACUCGCGGCUUAUCAGCUUGUUGGUGGGGUAGUGGCUUACCAAGGCUUUGACGGGUAGCCGGCCUGAGAGGGUGACCGGCCACAUUGGGCCUGAGAUACGGCCCAGACUCCUACGGGAGGCAGCAGUGGGGAAUAUUGCACAAUGGGCGGAAGCCUGAUGCAGCAACGCCGCGUGCGGGAUGACGGCCUGCGGGUUGUAAACCGCUUUCGCCUGUGACGAAGCGUGAGUGACGGUAAUGGGUAAAGAAGCACCGGCUAACUACGUG